CGUUGUCGUCAGCUCGUGCCGUGAGGUGUCGGGUUAAGUCCCAUAACGAGCGCAACCCCUAUCAUUAGUUGCCAUCAGGUCAAGCUGGGGACUCUAAUGAAACUGCCUACGCAAGUAGUGAGGAAGGUGGGGAUGACGUCAAAUCAGCACGGCCCUUACGUCCAGGGCUACACACGUGCUACAAUGGCCGGUACAAAGGGCAGCUACCUGGUGACAGGAUGCUAAUCUCAAAAGCCGGUCUCAGUUCGGAUCGGAGUCUGCAACCCGACUCCGUGAAGCUGGAAUCGCUAGUAGUCGCGCAUCAGCCAUGGCGCGGUGAAUACGUUCCCGGGCCUU
rnacentral:rRNA from 1 species